rnacentral:rRNA from 1 species
AGAGUUUGAUCCUGGCUCAGGAUGAACGCUAGCUACAGGCUUAACACAUGCAAGUCGGAGGGGAAACGAUAUUGGAAGCUUGCUUCCGAUAGGCGUCGACCGGCGUACGGGUGAGUAACGCGUAUCCAACCUGCCCACCACUUGGGGAUAACCUUGCGAAAGUAAGACUAAUACCCAAUGACGUCUCUAGAAGACAUCUGAAAGAGAUUAAAGAUUUAUCGGUGAUGGAUGGGGAUGCGUCUGAUUAGCUUGUUGGCGGGGUAACGGGCCCACCAAGGCGACGAUCAGUAGGGGUUCGUGAGAGGAAGGCCCCCCACCAUUGGAACUGAGACACGGUCCAAACUCCUACGGGAGGGCAGCA